rnacentral:rRNA from 1 species
GCAAGGGGAGCGGCAGACGGGUGAGUAACGCGUGGGAACGUACCCUUUACUACGGAACAACUCCGGGAAACUGGAGCUAAUACCGUAUGUGCCCUUUGGGGGAAAGAUUUAUCGGUAAAGGAUCGGCCCGCGUUGGAUUAGCUAGUUGGUGGGGUAAAGGCCUACCAAGGCGACGAUCCAUAGCUGGUCUGAGAGGAUGAUCAGCCACAUUGGGACUGAGACACGGCCCAAACUCCUACGGGAGGCAGCAGUGGGGAAUAUUGGACAAUGGGCGCAAGCCUGAUCCAGCCAUGCCGCGUGAAUGAUGAAGGCCUUAGGGUUGUAAAGUUCUUUCACCGGAGAAGAUAAUGACGGUAUCCGGAGAAGAAGCCCCGGCUAACUUCGUGCCAGCAGCCGCGGUAAUACGAAGGGGGCUAGCGUUGUUCGGAAUUACUGGGCGUAAAGCGCACGUAGGCGGACAUUUAAGUCAGGGGUGAAAUCCCAGAGCUCAACUCUGGAACUGCCUUUGAUACUGGGUGUCUUGAGUGUGGAAGAGGUCAGUGGAAUUGCGAGUGUAGAGGUGAAAUUCGUAGAUAUUCGCAGGAACACCAGUGGCGAAGGCGGCUGACUGGUCCACAACUGACGCUGAGGUGCGAAAGCGUGGGGAGCAAACAGGAUUAGAUACCCU